AAAAAACAAAUCCACCCCCCCCCAAAAAAAUAAUAAAAAUCUAUGUUUUCCCAGCGCCUUCCAAAGUUCCACAAGGACAAAACCUAGGCGCUGAUGACAGCCAAGCCGUUGGCUACCCAAGACUGAGGACUAGGCAGGUGACAGCCCUGGGUGACACCCUCACUGAAGACAGCUGGGGUGUGAGGAGCAGCGCACAGGUGACAGCGGGAACCCAGGGCUCUGAACAGCUGGCUCUCUGGUCACAGCAGCAAGAAGAGCACUCAGGAGUUGUUUGUCUCAGACAGGGUCUCUCCAGGCAGCCCAAAAUGGCCUCAAAAUCCUGGGAGAAUUUGGUGGUGUAGGGAUCAAACCCAGGACCUUAUUUAUGCACACGAGCUCCCUUUGUCCAAGUUGGACAGUGGCACCGGGAGGAAGGCUGAGAGGGUGGCUGCACUCCUGACACACGGCAGCGUGGACACUUGAAGUAGGUGACGCCUGUUGAACUGAGCUGAUCCCAGCUGAGGGGUGGACAAGGUCUAGGAAUUCCUGAAUUAAGCAGGUGACCCACCCAGCUGCCGGAGCAGUCAAGACGAGGACCUCCAAGAGAAGCUAGACAACUUCCACCGGAACUCAGCCUGGAGUCUGGGGGGAAGGGUUUGCCCAAACUGUUAAAAGGUCUGGCGCCAUUAAAGUU